rnacentral:tRNA from 1 species
GUCCCCAUCGUCUAGAGGCCUAGGACCCCAGCCUUUCACGCUGGUAACGGGGGUUCGAAUCCCCCUGGGGACGCCA